AUCCAACUAACGAGUCCCAAAUAGGACGAAAAACAUGUCUUGGAC
rnacentral:hammerhead_ribozyme from 1 species